CGGUGCUGCCAAUAACAGCGCCAUAAAUUGCAAAGUGGCUGUGCUUGGUAUUGCAGCUCAGCCCCAUUAACUUCAAUGGGGCUGAGCUGUGCCUAGGCCAUGUGACUGAUGAAAGUGACGUCAUGUGGCCUAGGGAAAGUUGGAGAACGCUGGUGCCUUCUCAAAACAGCUGAUCG